rnacentral:rRNA from 1 species
ACGGAGGGUGCAAACGUUGCUCGGAAUCAUUGGGCGUAAAGCGCACGUAGGCGGGUUGUUAAGUCGGAUGUGAAAUCCCUCAGCUUAACUGAGGAAGUGCACUCGAAACUGGCAGCCUUGAGUAUGGAAGAGGGUCGCGGAAUUCCCGGUGUAGAGGUGAAAUUCGUAGAUAUCGGGAGGAACACCAGUGGCGAAGGCGGCGACCUGGGCCAAUACUGACGCUGAGGUGCGAAAGCGUGGGGAGCAAACAGGA